AUGACUAGGAAGACAGAGUGGACAGUCCAGCAGGCGGAGGGCAGGGCGAAGGUCGGAGGUGGGGUCAAGGUUGGGGCCUGGGGGGUCAGACAGGAGCCCGGAGCUGGGUGCCGGGUCCGCCUGGGGUCAGACUUCCUCUGCCGCGUCCUGGGAGGGUUUAAGCACCGGCAGGGGCGGCCUGAUGGCAGCUCUGGGGGGGGAGCCCAGCUUCCCCGGAGAGGCACAGAGCUUUGGCGCCGUCUGCCCUGGGUGGAUCCCAUCCCUCCGGCCAGAGCCUGGGCUCGGCUACGGACUGUCCUCAGACCGUCCACCCGGAGAGGACAGCGAAGGCCAGCUGGAGUGUCAUCAGCAAGGUGGUUAUCACUGAGUCCUGACGCCAACGCCCAGCGCAGGGCCCGCCUCGGUGCAGGGGAAGCUCUACGCCCGCCCCCCUCUCCCGCCUACAGCCUCUCUUGUCCGUCUCCCCCAGCCUCGGCCCUGGCCCCGGCCCCAGGGGCUCGGCAGAGGAACUCAGAUGGUUCAUCUCUUCCCGUGAAGUGCCAGCCUAGCAGCAGGAGAGCCCUGCACUUGCUGGAGAGAUUUCCCGUCCGGAGGAGCAGGGGUACUGUCCUGAGCAGCGGGGGCUCUGCGGGCAGCUCUGCCUCCCACACCCUGUGAGACCCCAGCCAGGGCCGCCUCCUGGGCCUCUGCUCUCUGCAGCGCAACAUGGGCCAGUGGGCCCAGCUCUCAGGCUGCAGGUGAUGUCUCCCUGCCCCUGUCAGGGGACCCAGAUCCUUCAUACUCACCAAGCCCUGACAGGCAAACUGGGACGGGCCCUGCCCCUGCCCCUGCCCCUGCCCAGGACGCCGGGUGCCCCUCGGGGCCUCAGUGUCGGUGUCCCUGGGGGGCUCGUGUCCCUGCCCCUGCUCACAAGCUGAGCUCUCUCCCUCUGGCCAGGCCAGAUUCUACUGAACUCUCCUGGGCCAGCCAAAGGCCUGGGCAAGGACUAGAAACUUCUGGGAGUAAAGCCGGUGCCUCUGAGCCCUGGGCCAACACCCACAUCCUUGAAUACCAGCUUCCAACAUAGAAGUAAGGGGUGGAGGCAAGCAUGUGUGGCUGGGUGAGUGCGUGGUCCCACUCCUGCAGCUCAUCCCCUCCUGUAGCUUGUCCCUUCCUGCAGCUCAUCCCUUUCUGAAGCUUGUCCCCUUCUGCAAUUCAUCCCCUCCUGCAGCUCAUCCCCAACUGCAGUUUGUCCCCUCCUGUAGCUCAUUCCUUCCUGAAGCUUGUCCCUUCCUGCAAUGUGCCCUCCUCGUGCUCCUAUAAGCCUUACUACCCCAGGGUGGGGACGUGGGGGUGAGAGGCAAGAACAGGACUCAGAAGAGACAGGCCUGCCCAUCGACCGCCAGCAGCCCACUUCUCCCUGCCUCAACGUCCUCAUCUGUCAGACAGGGCUGGGCGCGCCUCCUUGCAGAGGUGGUGGGAGUUGAAUGAGGGACUGUGGCUGCCUUUCCACCCAGGGUGCCGCUCAUCACAGGCACUUAGGGAGCAGCCGCUCCACACCAGGCUCGGGACUGGCUGCCCAGGCGCCCUGCUGGAGCGCGCAGGAGGUACGAUAACUGUGGACACAUCGAGUGCUUGCCGUAUGCUGCCCUGUUCAGACUGUUCCCAUGUUAGCUCAUGUCCUUCCAUCAAGCCUAUAGCAAAGCAUCUUUUCUCAUCCCCAAUUCACAGAGCAGGACAGGACCUGCGUCUACUGGUACCCACACUCCUUCUGCAGCAUCUGGCACAUUCUCUGGUGCUCAUAGGGUUUGUGGAGUAAUAUAACGACUGAGCAGCAUCUUUUCCCUGUCAAGAACAAAAUGAAAUGGAAUAUUAUUCAGCCCUAAAAAGGAAGGAAAUUCUGACACACACUACAACAUGGGUGAACCUUGAGGACAUGCGGCUAGGUGAAAUAAACCAGUCACAAAGGGACA
rnacentral:lncRNA from 1 species